ACGCACGCUGGCGGCGUGCUUAACCCAUGCAAGUCGCACGGAAAGGCCCUGCUUUUGUGGGGUGCUCGAGUGGCGAACGGGUGAGUAACACGUGAGUAACCUGCCCUUGACUUUGGGAUAACUUCAGGAAACUGGGGCUAAUACCGGAUAGGAGCUCCUGCUGCAUGGUGGGGGUGGGAAAGUUUCGGCGGUUGGGGUUGGACUCGCGGCUUAUCAGCUUGUUGGUGGGGUAGUGGCUUACCAAGGCUUUGCCGGGUAGCCGGCCUGAGAGGGUGACCGGCCACAUUGGGACUGAGAUACGGCCCAGACUCCUACGGGAGGCAGCAGUGGGGAAUAUUGCACAAUGGGCGGAAGCCUGAUGCAGCAACGCCGCGUGCGGGAUGACGGCCUUCGGGUUGUAAACCGCUUUCGCCUGUGACGAAGCGUGAGUGACGGUAAUGGGUAAAGAAGCACCGGCUAACUACGUG
rnacentral:rRNA from 1 species